AGACACCCUAAACUUUGUGCAUUUGCAUUAUUAUUUGAAGGAAUUGUACUUAAAAAUGGAAGGAUUAUUAAAAUGAAAUUAAAAGAAGUUCAAACAACAAAACCAACACCUCUGAAAAAUAAUUUAUUUUAGAGAAAACAACUGAUUCCUGAAAAAACGAAACUCGCAGUAUGUACCUUAUUUACUUUCAGGGUUGCCAUGGACUACAGAUGUUUCUGAGCUCCCAUCAUUACAGUCCCAAGAUGAACCUAAAGUCAAAAUGAAAUAUGACUCUUCAGACUUUACAAGGCACUGUUCCUUCUGCAUAUGGAUGGGGAAAAUGAUUUGCUGUGCAAGAUUUGGAUUCUGAUAGUUAAAAAAAAUGUUUGCAGCUUCUUUACAAUUCCUAACUGAAAGAACCAUAAAGACUGAGCACUGACUCUACCUAAAGUGUUCCCUGAAGUUAUAUCUGAUGAGUGAACCUAAUUCUGUUCUGUCUGGACCUUCAGGAAUAAAUGAUGGGCUAAGUAAGGUAGGUGUUCUCA
rnacentral:lncRNA from 1 species